GAUGAACGCUGGCGGCGUGCCUAAUACAUGCAAGUCGAGCGAACAGACGAGGAGCUUGCUCCUCUGACGUUAGCGGCGGACGGGUGAGUAACACGUGGAUAACCUACCUAUAAGACUGGGAUAACUUCGGGAAACCGGAGCUAAUACCGGAUAAUAUAUUGAACCGCAUGGUUCAAUAGUGAAAGACGGUUUUGCUGUCACUUAUAGAUGGAUCCGCGCCUCAUUAGCUAGUUGGUAAGGUAACGGCUUACCAAGGCAACGAUGCGUAGCCGCCCUGAGAGGGUGAUCGGCCACACUGGAACUGAGACUCGGUCCACACUCCUACGGUGGGCAGCGGUAGGGAAUCUUCCGCAAUGGGCGAGAGCCUGACGGUGCAACGCCGCGUGAGUGAUGAAGGUCUUCGGAUCGUAAAACUCUGUUAUUAGGGAAGUACAAAUGUGUAAGUAACUAUGCACGUCUUGACGGUACCUAAUCAGAAAGCCACGGCUAACUACGUG
rnacentral:rRNA from 1 species